AUAAGGGGGUGGAAUGAUGCAGAAGAAUUAUCGUUUCUCACGCGUUUCCCUGGUCGAGAUAAAGCUCUGAAAUGUAACCACGUUAUUAUAAGUUGGAAUGUGGUCAAACAAACCUGACAACAGAACUGAGUAGACUGGAUUUGUAGCCUGUUACAUAACACAGAUCGCAGGAUACAGCCAAAGAAUUCCCUGCAAGUGGAAGAUACACAAAGACUCCUGUCUAGAACACGAUUCACAGUACCAGGAUUGAUAGGAACAGCCAAAACCUUUUCUUGGACAGGUGGUCUGAAGGUGUGACUGGUCUAGAACUGAAAAGACUCACCUAGAAUCCUGACAACCUUACCCUGCUGAUGCUGUGCACAGGCAAAAACUAACAACUGUAAUCCCACUAGACGUUACCCCCCAGUGCCGCAUUGUCUUCAGCAAUCUCUACAUAAUAAUGAUGCCACCUGGGGACUGGAUCAAGGCUCUUACAUGAAUCACACCUUAGAGAUCUCAACCUCUUUUAUUUACAGGCAAGUGUGGAUUUGUUUUUCACUGGUUUCACUUGAAGGAUAAUUUAUUUUGCCAGUGCUAAAAAGAGUAAAAACAAACAGUGCAAAGUGUACUUUGGUGUGAAGACUACAGUGUCUACUAUGUUCACCCAAGAUGGAGCAUACAAAUGCAGUCUCAUGUCCAUUAGUUCAUUUUUCUAUUUUUAGCCUAUAAAGGCCACACAGCCAACCAACAUUUUCCAAAGCACUUGAUUAAGCAAUAUAUCACAAAAUGUAAAAAAUAAAUUAGAUCUAUCAGUGCCAUGGAAAAUAAAUCAACACUCUCAAUAGCAUGUACAUUUAAAUUGGGAACUGCUGUCCUUAUAGUGAAGUACCAAAUAACAAAAACAAAUUCAUUAAUGAGAAUAUGACAAUGUGACAGAAAUACAAUGAUUCUUAGUUGGUGGAAAUCUCCCUCCCGACCUGUGAGGACCCUAAGCAGUGAAGACAGAGUUCUUUGAAUGGGCUGGCCUGACCGUUCUUUGCCUGGGUCGGAAGUCGGUCAGUCUGGAAGAAGGCUAGAAUCCAUGGCAAAAACAUAUUAAUGUGGAAGGGAAACAAUGUAGCAACCGCAGAUUGUAAAGGCAGCUGGGGUCAUGCGUGACAGCAUAUAAGG